GCCGUUUUGGUUUGAUUAUUUUUUGCUCUUUGUGCUAGUGUUAAAUUAAAGAAAUUAUUUACCUCUUUUGGGAAAAUGAGCAACGAGGGAGAAAAAUAUUAAUGACGGACACAUGUCCCACAUGGUGUCAGUCAUUUACUUGAAAUUUGGUCCAAAUGUCUGAAAAAUUGCCUCUAGAUUCUUCCAUAGAACAGUUUUUGGGUUAUAUAAACCACAAGAAAACUGCCAAGUGAAAAUAGUGGCAAAGAAGAGGUUAGCCCAGAAAGGCUAAACAGAGAGUUUUGGGAUUUUCAUUACAAGGGUGGUUGCCCCUCUCUUG
rnacentral:misc_RNA from 1 species